rnacentral:rRNA from 1 species
UCCGUAGGUGAACCUGCGGAAGGAUCAUUACCGAGUGCGGGUCCUUUGGGCCCAACCUCCCAUCCGUGUCUAUUAUACCCUGUUGCUUCGGCGGGCCCGCCGCUUGUCGGCCGCCGGGGGGGCGCCUUUGCCCCCCGGGCCCGUGCCCGCCGGAGACCCCAACACGAACACUGUCUGAAAGCGUGCAGUCUGAGUUGAUUGAAUGCAAUCAGUUAAAACUUUCAACAAUGGAUCUCUUGGUUCCGGCAUCGAUGAAGAACGCAGCGAAAUGCGAUAACUAAUGUGAAUUGCAGAAUUCAGUGAAUCAUCGAGUCUUUGAACGCACAUUGCGCCCCCUGGUAUUCCGGGGGGCAUGCCUGUCCGAGCGUCAUUGCUGCCCUCAAGCCCGGCUUGUGUGUUGGGUCGCCGUCCCCCUCUCCGGGGGGACGGGCCCGAAAGGCAGCGGCGGCACCGCGUCCGAUCCUCGAGCGUAUGGGGCUUUGUCACAUGCUCUGUAGGAUUGGCCGGCGCCUGCCGACGUUUUCCAACCAUUUUUUCCAGGUUGACCUCGGAUCAGGUAGGGAUACCCGCUGAACUUAAGCAUAUCAAUAAGCGGAGGAA